UUUUGUUGUUUUAAGCUAACUAAAAAGAAAAAGAGAAAAAAGCAAAAGAAAAAAAAAUUCACAAGAUUCUUGAUUACCUUUGGCCCCAAGGUAAUGAACUUCUUCGGUGCUUCUUCCUCCCUCUUUAUGAGCUUUGUUACCUAUAGAGGCAUCUUUUACCUUACCUUUGGCCCCAAGGUGAUGAAUUUCUUCAGUGCUCCCACCACUUCAAAUGGAGGCUCCUACAUCAUCACGGAAAAAAAUACGGUGACCGUGAGGAUGGUGAAAAUGAGAGAGCCUGGCGUAAAAAAAUAAGGUGACCUCGAGAGCGAGAGAGAGAGAGAG
rnacentral:lncRNA from 1 species